UACGGGGGGAGCAAGCGUUGUUCGGAUUUACUGGGCGUAAAGGGCGCGUAGGCGGCGCCGCAAGUCGACUGUGAAAUUCCUGGGCUUAACCUGGGAACUGCAUUUGUGACUGCAUCGCUGGAGUGCGGCAGAGGGGGACGGAAUUCCGCGUGUAGCAGUGAAAUGCGUAGAUAUGCGGAGGAACACCGAUGGCGAAGGCAAUCCCCUGGGCCUGCACUGACGCUCAUGCACGAAAGCGUGGGGAGCAAACAGG
rnacentral:rRNA from 1 species